rnacentral:rRNA from 1 species
UUGAACGCUGGCGGCAUGCUUUACACAUGCAAGUCGCACGGCAGCGGGGAGGAGCUUGCUUCUCUGCCGGCGAGUGGCGAACGGGUGAGUAAUACAUCGGAACGUGUCGAGAAGAGGGGGAUAACCACCCGAAAGGGUGGCUAAUACCGCAUAAAUUCUGAGGAAGAAAGCUGGGGACCUGGGAAUAGGCCUAGCGCUUUUUGAGCGGCCGAUGUCGGAUUAGCUAGUUGGUGAGGUAAAGGCUCACCAAGGCGAAGAUCUGUAGCGGGUCUGAGAGGAUGAUCCGCCACACUGGGACUGAGACACGGCCCAGACUCCUACGGGAGGCAGCAGUGGGGAAUUUUGGACAAUGGGGGCAACCCUGAUCCAGCCAUGCCGCGUGUAUGAAGAAGGCCUUAGGGUUGUAAAGUACUUUUGUUAGGGAAGAAAAGUCAGCUGUGAAUAAUGGCUGAUACUGACGGUACCUAAAGAAUAAGCACCGGCUAACUACGUG